UGGGGAAUUUUGGACAAUGGGCGAAAGCCUGAUCCAGCAAUGCCGCGUGUGUGAAGAAGGCCUUCGGGUUGUAAAGCACUUUUGUCCGGAAAGAAAUCCUCUGGGUUAAUACCUCGGGGGGAUGACGGUACCGGAAGAAUAAGCACCGGCUAACUACGUGCCAGCAGCCGCGGUAAUACGUAGGGUGCAAGCGUUAAUCGGAAUUACUGGGCGUAAAGCGUGCGCAGGCGGUUUUGUAAGACGGAUGUGAAAUCCCCGGGCUUAACCUGUGAACUGCAUUUGUGACUGCAAGGCUAGAGUAUGGCAGAGGGGGGUAGAAUUCCACGUGUAGCAGUGAAAUGCGUAGAGAUGUGGAGGAAUACCGAUGGCGAAGGCAGCCCCCUGGGCCAAUACUGACGCUCAUGCACGAAAGCGUGGGGAGCAAACA
rnacentral:rRNA from 1 species